rnacentral:rRNA from 1 species
GAUUCGUGGCUCAGGACGAACGCUGGCGGCGUGCCUAACACAUGCAAGUCGAGCGGGGACUUUGCGACUGAGUUGAAGACUUCGGUCGGAGAUGAAGAUGUAAAGUUCUAGCGGCGGACGGGUGAGUAACGCGUGAGCAACCUGUCCCUUACAGGGGGAUAACACAGCGAAAGUUGUACUAAUACCGCAUGAGACCACAGUAUCACAUGGUACAGGGGUCAAAGGAGCAAUCCGGUAAGGGGUGGGCUCGCGUCCGAUUAGAUAGUUGGUGAGGUAACGGCCCACCAAGUCGACGAUCGGUAGCCGACCUGAGAGGGUGAUCGGCCACAUUGGGACUGAGACACGGCCCAAACUCCUACGGGAGGCAGCAGUGGGGAAUAUUGGGCAAUGGGGGAAACCCUGACCCAGCAACGCCGCGUGAGGGAAGAAGGUUUUCGGAUCGUAAACCUCUGUCCUUGGUGAAGAGUAAGAGACGGUAGCCAAGGAGGAAGCCCCGGCUAACUACGUGCCAGCCGCAGC